rnacentral:misc_RNA from 1 species
AAUACUAGUGAACGGUUUGAUCAGGUAAAUUUGAUUCUGGUCUAGGCAAAUUCUGUUACCUUUAGCUUUGUCCUCCUUUUCUUUUGUAAAAGAAAAAUAUUUUUCUUUGGGCAAGUUAAUAGUAUGAUAGAAAGAGAUCUAAGAGGUGCUUUGGAAAUAAUUUUAGAGAGAAUGAACAAAAUCUGCAGUGGAAAUAUCAGUAGUUACCUUUAGUGUUGUCUUGGCCAGGAUAAUUGUAUUUGCAGUGCUCAGGUUGACCAAUCAAAUACCAUGUUUAAUUUCAUUGAAGAUCCUAUAACUCUUUACUUAUUUGCGGAUGUUAUGAUGAAUUAUCUGUCAAGAUUUAGAGCAGUGAUAACUAAUGCUAGCAUUAUUGAAGGAAUAAUUUGCAUAAGAAUUUCAUAGGUUAUUAUAACACUUGACUUGAUAAUUUUGUGGGUUCUUUUGUGUUCAGUUUUGCCAUAAUAACAUGUUUUUGACCUGUGACACUAAACUGCCUCAGAAAUAUUCCUGUAUGAUGAUGAUGAUAUUGACAAUGUUGAAUUCAAGUUUCUGGCCAAGGUCUUGUUUUUGCUUUGUGGUGAAAUCA